rnacentral:lncRNA from 1 species
UGGCUGUUAUUCAAGUACCUCAGUUUAGUCAGGAGAAUAUUUUUUUUCAGUUUAAUAUUUUAUUUAUUAAUAUUUAUUGUUUAGUUGUAGUUGGACACAAUACCUCUAUUUUGUUUAUUUAUUUUUAUGUGGUGCUGAGGAUUGAACCCAGGUCCCCGUAUGUGUGAGGCAAGCGCUCUACCGCUGAGCCAUAACCCCAGCCCCUCAGUUUGGUAUUUUAAUUUCACUUCCUUCAUACAGUUGGUCAGGAGAAUUUAGAUGUCCCUCUGGCAGGUUAUGGUAUAAUUAAGUAUUCUGGUUAAGUGGUAUGUGUUUAGUAUUGACUCAUUGAAACUUUUCCAUGCUUCUGUUAAGAAAUAAAAUAUUUAGCUGGGGAUAUAGCUGAGUGGUAGAACACUUGUUAGCAUGAAAGUGAGGCCCUAGAUCCAAUCCUUAGUAUCAUACACACAAAAAAUAAAUUAUCACAUUUAAAUAUAAUCUGAUGCGGUGCACUGUGGCACAUAAACAUCUGCACUGAGGCAGGAGAAUCAUAAGUUCAAACCCAGUCUGGGCAACUUCGUGAAACUCAGAAAGUAAAAUAAGAAGGACUGGGAAUGUAGCUCAGUGAUAAAUGGUCUGCCUAGCAUGUAUGAGGCUCUGGGUUCACUCCUGAGCAAUGCAACCAAAUAUUUAAAAAAAAAAAAAAAAUCUGUUUAGAGUUUUUGUGGAAAACAUUUGCUGUAAAUACAAUCAACAACAAAUAUUGUUAUUGAAACCUAUUUUUAUAUUAUUAGUAGUAAUGUAGAUAUGUGCAUUAGUCAUCAUAAUGUCAUUUCUAUUUGGCUGUCCUAAAUGUGAAAGAAAAGAUAAAUGAGAUUUUUUGUUGCACAUAUAAAAUGAUUUUGAAGGAAUUUCUGGUGGCUAUUUUAAUUUUGUAGUUAAUCGGUUUUGGUCACAAUUCAUUUAGUAGUGCUGCUAAAUGAAGGUAGAAAUCCCUGGGGAUUUUGUUUUUUAAAAUGCAGAUUCUGAUUCAUCAGAUUGAGCCAGGGGAAGAGUCUGCAUUUUUAGCAGACUCCUAGAUGAUGCCAGUGUUCCUGAUUACAUUUUGAGGAACCCAGUUAUAGAUUUUUUUUCACAUUUUGGGGCAUUUCAGACAGUGGACUUAAAUAGAAAAAAAUAAGAACUGGUAUUUACAAUGAUAUACCUGGAUCUAGUUGGUCAGGGAUUAAAAAAAAAAAAAAAAAGACAAAACCAAAACUAUAAUAAAGGCCACCACAGUUGUUAGUAGUUCUAAGACUCCCAUGAUCUGUAAGAAAAUAAAAUGAAUUUAGAGAAGUUUUAAUAGUUUUUGGGACUUGCUAGAACAUAGCAUAGGAAGGAGAAAGCAAAAAAGAUCAGGCUGCUUGAGAAAGUGUCAUUGUAUGUUUAUUUAGGAAUUAGAUCAGAAAAUAGUUUACAACAGUAAUUACAGCAGACAAAAAUGUAGCUCAGAAAGGGAAGAUGGGUAGGUUAGUAAAAAUACCAAUGAGGUUUGUUUUAUUUGUUUGUUUAUUUUGAGGGUCUUUAAUUUAAAGCCAAGUAAACAUUGGGUGGUGAACAGCUAAAGCAGACAAAGGAAGAAAAUCAUUAAAGAUGGCUUCUUAAAAACAACUUGCAUGGAUUCAGAACAACAGGUGGGAAAUGUUGUGAAGAAUAGAAAUGAUAGGUGUAUCCAUCUAUAUAAAGAGGAGCCAGAUAACUGUGAUAUCUGGUUUUCAUUUUUAUUUUGAAAAAUAAAAAUAUAGAUGAAGUAUGGAAAACAAAUAACUCUCUGUUUGCUGUUUUUUAAAUUGCAAGCUCUUGUUUAAUGGUAGGUUAUUAAUAGUUACAAUGGUGCGAGUCCUGUAUAUGGGGCUCUGUGCUAAGGAGGUGUUUUACAUAUAAUGCACAACCAUACAAGGUAGGUUUUAUGGUCCCUACUUUAAAUAUAAGGAACUCAGAGAUCCAAGGGUAAGUAGUUUGGUAUUUGUAGUUAGUGGCAAACUAAGUACAACUAUAAGUAGCAAAGGCAAGAUUCAAACCCUUUUCUACAUGACUCCAAGUGUACAUUCUUUUUUUUUUUUUUUGGUACCAGAAAUUGAACUUACUCAACCACUGAGCCACAUCCCAAGCCCUAUUUUGUAUUUUUAAAUUUAGAGACAAGGUCUCAGUUGCUUAGCACUUUGCCAUUGCUGAGACUGGCGUUGACCUCAAGAUCCUCCUGCCUCAGCCUCCCAAGCCACUGGGAUUAUUACAUUCAUGGGCCACCAUGCCCAGCCAAGUAUACUUGGUAUUUUUGUUUGUUUGUUUGUUUGUUUUUGGUUUUGUGGUGCUGGGAUUGAACCCAGGGCCUUGUGCAUGCAAGGCAAGCACUCUAUUUAGCUUUAUCUCCAGCCCUGUACGUUCUUACCUUGAUUAGAUAUAGACAUACUAUGAGAUUAAAAUUAAAUGGUAAAAUUUGUUUUUACUUUAAAAUGCAUUAUGUCUAAAAUAAAGCAACCUAAUUUGAAUUUAAAGUAAAACAGACUCUAGAGGUAUGAUUCAAUGGUAGAGUGCCAGUUGGGCAUCUUGUACAAGAUCCUGGGUUCUAUCUCCAGCAUGCCCCCCCAAAAAAAAAA